UACGUAGGGUGCAGGCGUUAAUCGGAAUUACUGGGCGUAAAGCGUGCGCAGGCGGUCUUUUAAGUCAGAUGUGAAAUCCCCGGGCUCAACCUGGGAACUGCAUCUGUGACUGUAUAGCUAGAGUACGGUAGAGGGGGAUGGAAUUCCGCGUGUAGCAGUGAAAUGCGUAGAUAUGCGGAGGAACACCGAUGGCGAAGGCAAUCCCCUGGACCUGUACUGACGCUCAUGCACGAAAGCGUGGGGAGCAAACGAGG
rnacentral:rRNA from 1 species